CUCUCGAGGGGAAGUCCAAAGACGACAAUGUCUUCUAGCACUUGGUUUCUUCAAGGAGAAUAACAAUGCGCUUUCCUAUGACAAGAAGGUGGACAAGUUUCCAGAGCUGGCCAAAAGGAGGGGUUCAACUAUCAUCAUGCUGAAGCAGGGUAUGCCAUGCUCACUUUCUGGAUUCCUGAUCUGUCCUCCAUGCUUUCUUCUGACUCCUCGCAUCAUUUUGGCGUUGCAGCAUUCCUCAUCAAUGACAACAAGGAGGUACCUUUUUCUACUUUCUUAUUGAUAUCAUAUCAUUCACUAGCCAUUUGAUUCACGAGUGUAAGACGCUGCUUAAAUUGGUGUUCCACAUGUUCUCAUGGGAUGUCUGGUAAGUCAAAGAAGAAACUGGAGUUAGCCAUCUGAUAUAACCUAAUACUCUGUUCUUGGAAAUUCUGUUUUAUUAUCAGUCAGUAAGAGCAAAAGAAGGAAUAAAACUGAAUUUGAUUUGCUUUAUAAGACUGUUGGUGUCUGUGUUUUCUGUUCUUCUUCUUCUUCUUCUUCUUCUUCUUCUUCUUCUUCUUCAUGUUUCAGGCAUUGCCACCUUGUGGCCUUUUGAGGACUUGAAUUUGCUAUUGAUUCACAAGGAAAGUCAAGCUAAACUGCAAAGGUAUAUUAAAGCCCCACUUUCACUAUUUUCUCUAAUAUUUUCAUAUUACAAACAUAAUUAUGGUUCAAGUAUGAUCUGGAUCCUUGGAUUCUUAUCCAUUAAUUUUAAGUUUAACCCUUCAAUCAUAACUUCAUUAAAAAAU